ACGGGUGAGUAACGCGCGGGUAACCUACCUCAUACAGGGGGAUAACAGUUGGAAACGACCGCUAAUACCGCAUAACCCGCUAGUAUCGCAUGAUACGGACGGAAAAGAUUUAUCGGUAUGAGAUGGACCCGCGUCUGAUUAGCCAGUUGGCAGGGUAACGGCCUACCAAAGCAACGAUCAGUAGCCGGCCUGAGAGGGUGAACGGCCACAUUGGGACUGAGACACGGCCCAAACUCCUACGGGGGGCAGCAGUGGGGAAUAUUGCACAAUGGGGGAAACCCUGAUGCAGCGACGCCGCGUGAGUGAGGAAGUAUUUCGGUAUGUAAAGCUCUAUCAGCAGGGAAGAAAAUGACGGUACCUGACUAAGAAGCCCCGGCUAACUACGUGCCAGCAGCCGCGGUAAUACGUAGGGGGCAAGCGUUAUCCGGAUUUACUGGGUGUAAAGGGAGCGUAGACGGCUAAUCAAGUCAGAAGUGAAAACCCAGGGCUCAACCUUGGGACUGCUUUUGAAACUGAGUAGCUAGAGUGCAGGAGAGGUAAGCGGAAUUCCUAGUGUAGCGGUGAAAUGCGUAGAUAUUAGGAGGAACACCAGUGGCGAAGGCGGCUUACUGGACUGUAACUGACGUUGAGG
rnacentral:rRNA from 1 species